CCAAAGGCUCUUUUCAGAGCCACCCACGUUUUCAUUAAGAGGGCUU
rfam:Tupaia chinensis contig173119, whole genome shotgun sequence.